CACUCCGCCUGGGGAGUACGACCGCAAGGUUGAAACUCAAAGGAAUUGACGGGGGCCCGCACAAGCGGUGGAGCAUGUGGUUUAAUUCGAAGCAACGCGAAGAACCUUACCAGGUCUUGACAUCCUUUGACCACUCUAGAGAUAGAGCUUCCCCUUCGGGGGCAAAGUGACAGGUGGUGCAUGGUUGUCGUCAGCUCGUGUCGUGAGAUGUUGGGUUAAGUCCCGCAACGAGCGCAACCCUUAUUGUUAGUUGCCAUCAUUUAGUUGGGCACUCUAGCGAGACUGCCGGUGACAAACCGGAGGAAGGUGGGGAUGACGUCAAAUCAUCAUGCCCCUUAUGACCUGGGCUACACACGUGCUACAAUGGGAAGUACAACGAGUUGCGAAGUCGCGAGGCUAAGCUAAUCUCUUAAAGCUUCUCUCAGUUCGGAUUGUAGGCUGCAACUCGCCUACAUGAAGCCGGAAUCGCUAGUAAUCGCGGAUCAGCACGCCGCGGUGAAUACGUUCCCGGGCCUUGUACACACCGCCCGUCACACCACGAGAGUUUGUAACACCCGAAGUCGGUGAGGUAACCUUUUUGGAGCCAGCCGCCUAAGGUGGGAUAGAUGAUUGGGGUGAAGUCGUAACAAGGUAAGUAUU
rnacentral:rRNA from 1 species